AUUGAACGCUGGCGGCAGGCCUAACACAUGCAAGUCGAGCGGAUGAAGGGAGCUUGCUCCUGGAUUCAGCGGCGGACGGUUGAGUAAUGCCUAGGAAUCUGCCUGGUAGUGGGGGAUAACGUCCGGAAACGGGCGCUAAUACCGCAUACGUCCUGAGGGAGAAAGUGGGGGAUCUUCGGACCUCACGCUAUCAGAUGAGCCUAGGUCGGAUUAGCUAGUUGGUGGGGUAAAGGCCUACCAAGGCGACGAUCCGUAACUGGUCUGAGAGGAUGAUCAGUCACACUGGAACUGAGACACGGUCCAGACUCCUACGGGAGGCAGCAGUGGGGAAUAUUGGACAAAGGGCGAAAGCCUGAUCCAGCCAUGCCGCGUGUGUGAAGAAGGUCUUCGGAUUGUAAAGCACUUUAAGUUGGGAGGAAGGGCAGUAAGUUAAUACCUUGCUGUUUUGACGUUACCAACAGAAUAAGCACCGGCUAACUUCGUG
rnacentral:rRNA from 1 species